AUUUUUUUGGUUGGCUAUUAGGUUAGAGGGUACAAAGGAGAAAGGGUACAUGGCCUCAACUCUGUGCUGAAGAGAAAGAAAAGUCACUCUAGUGCUUGAAUUACAUCAUAACUUCUGUCUAUUCAUUUAUUCAAGAGACAAUGAAAGAGGAAGUAAAUUUAAACAUUUUUAGGCACUUUCUCUCACUGAAGGGUUAGGAUACUAUUAAGACAUUAUUAUUUUGACUAUUACAUUAUUUUUUCCUUAUGCAUUUAUUAACCUUCCAAUGUCAGAGUAGGGUUCAAGUGACAGAGUUCCUGUCCAGGUCCCAUUGCCUAUAAUUCUUCAGGAAAAAGACCUGUGACAAAAUCUGAAUCAAGCCCAAUGUCAAACAUCACUAAUAUCAAAUAUCUCUGCCACUAUUCCCAACAAGAUUUCCAUUUAAGAGAUUGUUUCUACUUUCAGUUUUUCACAGUGCAUCACUGAGCUCCCCCUGAUGCUGUAGUAAAAGCCUAUAGAUCUAUGCACAACCUGUUCUGUUUUCUGCAAGUUUUUUUUCUUGGCCUGAUAACUUUCCCUUUGAAACCAUCCCCCUUUUUUAUAGGCUGUGCUCUGGGUGGGGUUUAGUACAAAUCUCUUUAAAAGCCCCAGUAGUUGCUCCUUGAGGCCAAGUCUGAGCUGAGCACAGGUGCUGCUGAAUCACAGCUGGACAUGAAAAUAUUCUGCAAUUUCCAGUAUGUGCAGAACUCAUCACUUUCUGAAAUGCCUUUAAGGAAAGGUGAACCAAGAGGGAAGCAAUGUCAAGAGCCAAGGAUUCCUCUUGGGAAACUGUCUUCUAGCUUCUGGAUAUUGGGCAGAAAAAGAUCUUUUGCUUAAGAGAGAUCUGAACUCUGAUCUAAAUUGUGGAGUAUUAAUCAUAUCAUAUGUUCAUCAUAUCUGUAUAUGAUUGCACUUGUCCAUAAUAAGUUUCUUCAGUCUCAGAGGGAUGUAAGAGAGAUGAUCACAAAUAAUGUUGGGUUUCAACAGCCAACCCAAAUCACAUUAAAAACGUCUGUUUUAGCCUCC